rnacentral:rRNA from 1 species
CAGUAGCCGCGGUAAUACGAGGGGGGCAAGCGUUGUUCGGAAUUAUUGGGCGUAAAGGGUGCGUAGGCGGUUUGAUAAGUUUGGUGUGAAAUCUCUGGGCUCAACCCAGAGUCUGCAUCGAAGACUGUCGAUCUGGAGUAUGGAAGAGGUGAGUGGAAUUCCGAGUGUAGAGGUGAAAUUCGUAGAUAUUCGGAGGAACACCAGUGGCGAAGGCGGCUCACUGGUCCAUUACUGACGCUAAGGUGCGAAAGCGUGGGGAGCAAACAGGAUUAGAUACCCCAGUAGUCCAUGUCUCUUAUAC